GCCAGCAUGGUGUAGCGGUGUGAAUGUUGGACUAUGAUUCUGGAGACCAGGGUUCAAAUCCCUGCUUAGCCA